AACGAACGCUGGCGGCAUGCCUAACACGUGCAAGUCGAACGAGACCUUCGGGUCUAGUGGCGCACGGGUGCGUAACGCGUGGGAACCUGCCCUUAGGUUCGGAAUAACUCCCCGAAAGGGGUGCUAAUACCGGAUAAUGUCUUCGGACCAAAGAUUUAUCGCCUUUGGAUGGGCCCGCGUUGGAUUAGCUAGUUGGUAGGGUAAAAGCCUACCAAGGCGACGAUCCAUAGCUGGUCUGAGAGGAUGAUCAGCCACACUGGGACUGAGACACGGCCCAGACUCCUACGGGAGGCAGCAGUGGGGAAUAUUGGACAAUGGGCGAAAGCCUGAUCCAGCAAUGCCGCGUGAGUGAUGAGGGCCUUAGGGUUGUAAAGCUCUUUUACCCGGGAUGAUAAUGACAGUACCGGGAGAAUAAGCUCCGGCUAACUCCGUG
rnacentral:rRNA from 1 species